GCGGUGUUCUACAAGCUCGGC
rnacentral:siRNA from 1 species